rnacentral:rRNA from 1 species
CCGAAUGGGGAAACCCAGUGGAAGUAAUGAUCCAUUAUCCAUAAGCGAAUACAUAGCUUAUGAGAGAGCAACCUAGGGAAUUGAAACAUCUUAGUACCUAGAGGAAAAGAAAACAACAGUGAUUCCCAGAGUAGCGGCGAGCGAAAUGGGAACAGCCCAAACCGACUAUGAGUCGGGGUAGUAGGACUGCGACGUGGGAUUUUAUGAUGUUAGUAGAAUGGCAUUGAAAGGCCAACCGUAGAGGGUGCAAGUCCCGUAUACGAAAGCAAAGUAAACCCUAGCAGGAUCCUGAGUACGGCGAGACACGAGAAAUCUUGUCGGAAUCAGCCAGGACCAUCUGGCAAGGCUAAAUACUACAUAGUGACCGAUAGUGAACCAGUACCGUGAGGGAAAGGUGAAAAGAACCCCGGGAGGGGAGUGAAAUAGAACCUGAAACCGUAUGCUUACAAGAAGUCAGAGCCCGUUAAAGGGUGAUGGCGUGCCUUUUGUAGAAUGAACCGGCGAGUUACCAUAUCGUGCGAGGUUAAGUAGAAAAUACGGAGCCGAAGCGAAAGCGAGUCUUAAUAGGGCGGAAGUACGAUUUGGUAGACCCGAAACCAGGUGAUCUAUCCAUGACCAGGUUGAAGUUGAGGUGAAACUCAAUGGAGGACCGAACCGACUAUCGUUGAAAAGCUAGCGGAUGAGUUGUGGAUAGCGGAGAAAUUCCAAUCGAACCUGGAUAUAGCUGGUUCUCCUCGAAAUAGCUUUAGGGCUAGCGUCGAAGUUGAGUCGUAUGGAGGUAGAGCACUGAAAGUAUGAUGGCCCCAUCUCGGGGUACUGAUUAUUAUCAAACUACGAAUGCCAUACUGAUAUAUUCGGCAGUCAGACUGUGGGUGAUAAGGUCCAUGGUCAAAAGGGAAACAGCCCAGAUCACCAGCUAAGGUCCCAAAAUGUAUGCUAAGUGGAAAACGAUGUGGGGAUGCACAGACAACUAGGAGGUUGGCUCAGAAGCAGCCAUCCUUUAAAGAGUGCGUAACAGCUCACUAGUCGAGUGACCCUGCGCGGAAAAUGUACCGGGGCUAAGCAUACUACCGAAGCUGUGGAUUCGUAUCUUUUAGAUAUGAGUGGUAGAGGAGCGUUCCAUUCGUCGUUGAAGCUGUACCGUAAGGAGCAGUGGAGAGUAUGGAAGUGAGAAUGCCGGUGUGAGUAGCGAGAUGUAGGUGAGAAUCCUACACACCGAUAGCCUAAGGUUUCCAGGGGAAGGUUCGUCCGCCCUGGGUAAGUCAGGACCUAAGAUGAGGCCGAAAGGCGUAGUCGAUGGACAACAGGUUGAUAUUCCUGUACCCGCGUAAAAAUGAUGGAGUGACGGAGACGGUUAGUAUAUGCCACUUAAUGGAUUGUGGUCUAAGCGAGGUAGCUUGUAUGUAGGAAAAUCCGCAUACUGUAAGGCGAAGGCGUGAUGGGGAAGCGAAAGCAUUCGUGCGAGUAGUGAAGUAUAUGAUACCGGCUUCCAAGAAAAGCUUCUAGUAUUAAUUUUAUGACGGCCUGUACCGAAACCGACACAGGUGGGCAAGGCGAGAAGCCUGAGGUGAGCGAGAGAACUGUUGCCAAGGAACUCGGCAAAAUGGUCCCGUACGUUCGCAAGAAGGGACGCUCUAUUAAUAGAGCCGCAGUGAAUAGGCCCAAGCGACUGUUUAUCUAAAACACAGCUCUCUGCUAAGUUGAAAGACGACGUAUAGGGGGUGACUCCUGCCCGGUGCUGGAAGGUUAAGGGAAUCUGUUAGAGCUUGACUCGAAGCAGUGCACUGAAGCCCCAGUGAACGGCGGCCGUAACUAUAACGGUCCUAAGGUAGCGAAAUUCCUUGUCAGGUAAGUUCUGACCCGCACGAAAGGAGUAACGAUUUGGGCGCUGUCUCGGCAGCAGACUCGGUGAAAUCUUAGUGCCUGUGAAAAUGCAGGUUACCCGCAACUAGACGGAAAGACCCCAUGGAGCUUUACUGUAGCUUGAUAUUGAGUUUUGAUUAAACAUGUACAGGAUAGGUGGGAGACGUUAAAGCAUGCACGCCAGUGUAUGUGUAGUCACUGUUGGGAUACCACCCUUGUUUAAUUGAAAUUCUAACCAUGUACCGUGAUCCGGUACUGGGACCGUGUCAGGUGGGCAGUUUGACUGGGGCGGU